UACGUAGGGUGCGAGCGUUGUCCGGAAUUAUUGGGCGUAAAGAGCUCGUAGGCGGUUUGUCGCGUCUGCUGUGAAAACCCGAGGCUCAACCUCGGGCCUGCAGUGGGUACGGGCAGACUAGAGUGCGGUAGGGGAGAUUGGAAUUCCUGAUGUAGCGGUGGAAUGCGCAGAUAUCAGGAGGAACACCGAUGGCGAAGGCAGAUCUCUGGGCCGUAACUGACGCUGAGGAGCGAAAGCGUGGGGAGCGAACAGG
rnacentral:rRNA from 1 species